UCUUGGUGGCGAGUGGCGAACGGGUGAGUAAUAUAUCGGAACGUACCCUAGAGUGGGGGAUAACGCAGCGAAAGUUGCGCUAAUACCGCAUACGAUCUACGGAUGAAAGUGGGGGAUCGCAAGACCUCAUGCUCAUGGAGCGGCCGAUAUCUGAUUAGCUAGUUGGUAGGGUAAAAGCCUACCAAGGCUUCGAUCAGUAGCUGGUCUGAGAGGACGACCAGCCACACUGGAACUGAGACACGGUCCAGACUCCUACGGGAGGCAGCAGUGGGGAAUUUUGGACAAUGGGCGCAAGCCUGAUCCAGCAAUGCCGCGUGAGUGAAGAAGGCCUUCGGGUUGUAAAGCUCUUUUGUCAGGGAAGAAACGGUGAGAGCUAAUAUCUUUUGCUAAUGACGGUACCUGAAGAAUAAGCACCGGCUAACUACGUGCCAGCAGCCGCGGUAAUACGUAGGGUGCAAGCGUUAAUCGGAAUUACUGGGCGUAAAGCGUGCGCAGGCGGUUGUGCAAGACAGAUGUGAAAUCCCCGGGCUCAACCUGGGAAUUGCAUUUGUGACUGCACGGCUAGAGUGUGUCAGAGGGGGGUAGAAUUCCACGUGUAGCAGUGAAAUGCGUAGAGAUGUGGAGGAAUACCGAUGGCGAAGGCAGCCCCCUGGGAUAACACUGACGCUCAUGCACGAAAGCGUG
rnacentral:rRNA from 1 species